rnacentral:lncRNA from 1 species
GGUUUACAUAUCCUACAUAUAUAGUUUAAUUUUAUUGGAAACAACAAACAUAAAAAAAGAGGUAAAGGGAGACCAACAGACGGAGAGACAUAAGAAAAAGUAAAAGUAAACUGACAAACGGAUAGACGCACACAGAGAUAAAGGGAGCCAGACUGACAGAUAGAGAGAAACAGCAGUAAAGGGAGACCGACAGAUAGAUAUACAGAAACAGCGGUAAAGGGAGACAGACACUCGGAAAGACAGAAACAGCGGUAAAGGGAGACCAAUCGACGGACAGAAACAGAGGUAAAGGGAGACAGACACUCGGAUAGAAAGAAACAUAGGUAAAGGGAGUCAGCCAGAAGGUAGACAGAAACAUAGGUAAAGGGAGCCAGCCAAAAGGAUAGACAGAAACAGAGGUAAAGGGAGCCAGACAGACGGAUAGACAGAAACAGAGGUAAAGGGAGACGGACAGACAGAUAGACAGAAACAUAGGUAAAGGGAGACUGACAGACAGAUAGACAGAAACAGCGGUAAAGGGAGACCGAUCGACGGACAGAAACAGAGGUAAAGGGAGACAGACACUCGGAUAGACAGAAACAGAGGUAAAGGGAGCCAGACAGACGGCUAGACAGAAACAGAGGUAAAGGGAGCCAGACAGACAGAGAGACAGAAACAGAGGUAAAGGGAGACGGACAGACGGAUAGACAGAAACAG